rnacentral:misc_RNA from 1 species
AGAUGGAUCAUUCAUGAAAUGUAUUUGGCUAUGUGGUUCUCUUAUUGAAAUAUCAUAUUGAUAGUGGUUCUCUUAUUGAAAUAUCAUAUUGAUAGUGGUUCUCUUAUUGAAACAUUGUAUUGGUAGUGGUUCUCUUAUUGAAAUAUCAUAUUGAUAGUGGUUUUAACGUUCCAAGCGAAUAGAAAGGUUACCGGUAAACGGCAUGUAAAAAUCUAUAAAUACUGCAUGUGGUCUCUUGUCCUAAAUUAUAAGAGAUAAUUCUAUUUACGCCUCUCAGCGAUGGAUGUCUCGGAUCUCGUAACGAUGAAGAACGCAGCUAGCUGCGAGAUGCAGUGUGACAUGCGAACUUCUGUGAAUCAUUAGAUUUUUGAACGCAAAAGGUACUUCUAAACUUGUUUUAGGAGUAUGUUCACUUCAGUGCUUUUAUAUAUUUGUUAACAAAAUUGGUGGUUAACGAGAAUAGUUACUGUGAUUGCGGUAACUGUAAGAUGAUGGUAGUGGCUUUUAGGUAACUUUUUAAUGGCCAUUAUUACUAAAACUUUAUAAACAAGCCUGAAUUUGAGCAAGUGUACCCGCUGAACUUAAGCAUAUUAUUAAGCGGAGGAAGAGAAACUAACUAGGAUUCCCUUAGUAACUGCGAGUGAACAGGGAAGAGCUCAAACUGGAAAUCGACAGUUCUCUGUCGAAUUGUAGUCUCAUGAAAUGCAGCCUGUAAAUGUUGUGAGUUAAAUCUCUUGGAAAAGAGUACCAAAGAGGGUGAAAGUCCCGUCUUUAUUCAUAACCAUCUACUUUCGGUGCAUUUUCAAAGAGUCGCGUUCCUUGAGAUUGGAGCGCUAAGUGGGUGAUAAACUUCAUCUAAAGCUAAAUAUUAACGAGAUUCCGAUAGCGUACAAGUACCGUGAGGGAAAGUUGAAAAGAACUUUGAAAAGAGAGUUAAAAGGAACUGAAAUUGCUGAAAGGGAAGUGGAGAGAUUCGACGGUCUAGUGAAGUCUUCCAUGUACUCUGGAUAUUUAUUUAUCCCUGGGUGUGUGGUAGAGAUUUGCGAUGACUUUGGAAGUGAUUGUACAAGCUGAUUACAUUAUUGAUAGGUUCUAUAUUAGGGCCAUGUCUUGAAUGUUUUCAAUUUGUGUGAUCUAUGUAUUUCUAACUUAGCAAUAAUUGUUGAGCUAUACUUUUCCAAACAUGUCGAUUCUCUCCUCCCCGUCUUGAAACACGGACCAAGGAGUCUACUUUAUGUGCGAGUACAAGGGUGAAAAACCUAUGUGCGAAAUGAAAGUAAUAGUUAGGAUGGUUAAUCCUGCACUGACACUCGGCCACUGAGUCGAAGUAGAGCACAUAGAAUAGGACCCGAAAGAUGGUGAACUAUGCCUGAGUAGGGUGAAGCUAGAGGAAACUCUGGUGGAAGCUCGUAGCGAUACUGACGUGCAAAUCGUUCGUCAAACUUUGGUAUAGGGGCGAAAGACCAAUCGAACCAUCUCGUAGCUGGUUUAUUC